GCUUUACAAGAUUAUUAUACAUUUUUUUGUCAUUAAUUAAAGACAAAAGAACAUAAAAUAUGUCAUAAAGUAUUGAUACAUAAACGACAUUAAAAGAUUUCUGUAUUUGUGUGAUCUAUAUAGUAUAGUUCUUGUAGUGUUUUUAUAUAAUGUAUCAAACAUAUCAUAUUUCUAGUAGUAUAUGCAUUUGAAUUUUUGCAAUAAAAUUAUUAUCAGAAAGUUGUGCAAAGAUGGAAGAUAUACAACAAAGCACUUUAAGAAAUAUUGUAGGUUGCAUCAUGUACUUCUUCCUGAAGAAGCUUCUAAAUCUUGUACAUUUUCAGAAGAAAUUCCUAUAACUCGAUCUCAAGCUCUUAAGAAUAAAUUUUCUAAAAUACAAGUUUAUAAUUCUUGUUUACUUCAAAAUUAUAAAAUCGAAUAUAUAUUUUUAAAGUAAUCGCUAUUUUGGUGAUUACCAAAAACCAAUUGAAAAUUAUUUGAUGGAAAUGUACUUUUGAAUUUUUUUAUGCAAUUGUUUACUUUAUUUCUUAUUUAUAGCGAGAAUAUAUAAUCGUUACCUUUUUAUGUACAGGCCAUCGUAGAAUUAUAACAAAUAAACCUGCUUUAGAUGAGUAUCCUGAUCUUGAACGGCUAUGCAAACUAAAAGAUACAUGUGUUACUUUAAUUAUGUGUAAAUGUUAUUUCUAUAUAAUAGUGCAAAAAAAAAAAUAAAAGAAUAAUAUUCAUUGUUAUUAUAAAUAUAAUUAGCAAGAAAAUUUGUGUAAUUAUAUAAGGAUAAGAUUAUUUAAUGUAAUAACUAUGAUAUGUAGUACAUGCUCAAAUGAGCAUGCCAUGCAAGCAAUAACAAUUUUACUGAUGAAAUGAAAGGAACAGUCCCUUUAAAUAAAUCACCCGGUUAUUCUAAAUUAUCAAUUCUUCCAUUUGAAGGUAUUUUAAAUGAUAAAGAGAUU